CUCUGCAAAAAAUGCUCCUGGAACCCAAAUAUGUUAUCAUCAGGGAGGAGAUUCAGGGAGCAGAGCUUUUAUAGAAGAUGGACACAAAGAAGUUCAGCUUCCUCUCCCCACUUGAAGAAUUUGAAGAGAUAUAAGCAGAAAUCUUUGAAGAAUGAUUUGAAUGGCAUCAAGGACCUGUUGGCCAAAGGCUCCCCAGCCCCACAUCAUGCAAAGUUGUCAUUGAAGCACAGCUGUCUCAGAUGAGAGUUUAUGGCUCCUGCAAACAGUAAUGACAACCACACAACGGACCUGAUCUUGGGAGCCCAAGGCGAGCAAGCAAGACAGAGGUUCACUGUCAAUCCCUACUCUUUUAGCUCCAUUCAUCUUCCCUCUGAAAAUAGAGGCACAUAGAGCUGAAAUCAGGGAUAGAUUUUUCUGUAGUGGUGGUUCUACCAGGAUGAUGGGGGCUAGAGCCUCCUUUCCCCACUGCUGACAUCCUGUCCUGG